rnacentral:snoRNA from 1 species
GUCCAUGGAUAGCGAUGAACUGAUCGCAUAUAUCCUCAAUGGACUGGACGAAUGCAGCCAGCAGAAACCGUGGGGGCUUCUCCUCGUGUGGUGGCGCAGGAAGAGGCCGGAACACCAACAGCAACCGCGGCCGUGG